rnacentral:snRNA from 1 species
GGAUAUGAGGGCGAUCUGGCUACGACAUCUGUCACCCCAUUGAUCGCCAGGGUUGAUUCAGCUGCUCUGGCUGGCUAGGCGGGUGUCCCCUUCCUCCCUCACCGCUCCAUGUGUGUCCCUCCCGAAGCUGCAUGCUCAGUUGAAGAGGACGACCAUCCCCGAUAGAGGAGGACCGGUCUUUGGUCAAGGGUAUACAAGUAGCUGCGCUCCCCUGCUAGAACCUCCAAACAAGAGUGCAGUUACAAUAGUGGUCAUGAAUUUAAAGUGAGAAAGGUCAGACAGACACGUUUUCUUCUCU